rfam:Capsicum annuum cultivar Zunla-1 chromosome 9, whole genome shotgun sequence
UAGCAGUGAUGAAAAAUUCCUGUGUCGAAGACUUUUUUUGGUCUAUGAUGGUUUACACAAUCCUCUAAGAAGUUCUGAGGUA